rnacentral:rRNA from 1 species
UGCAAAUCAAUAUAAAUUGAUUUUUAAAUUUUAUUUAUUAAUUGAUUGAAUUUCAUUAAAUUUUUUUAUUAAAAAUAAUUAUAUAAAUUAUAUUGUUUUAGUAAAUUUUAUUGAAAAAAUAAUUUUUAUAAUAGUUUAUUUGUAUUGUGAAAGAUUAUUGAAAUAUUUUGAAAAAUUUUUAUAAAAUAAGAAAAAUUUAUUUUUUGUACCUUGUGUAUCAGGGUUUAUUAAAUAAUUUAUAAAUAUUUAUUUAUCUCGAUUUUAUAAGAGUUAAUAAUUUAUGAAAGUUAAUGUAUUAAAAUUAUUUUUAAUAAAUUAUUAGAAAUGAAAUGUUAUUCGUUUAUAAAGGUAUCUAGUUUUUUUAGAAAUAAAUUUAAUUUAUUAAUUUUUAAUUUUUAUUUUUAUUAAAAAAAAUUAAAAAAUUAAAAAUUAAAAUAUUUAAAGGGAUAAGCUUUUAAAUAAAUUUUUAUAAAUUAAUGAAUUUUAUUUAAAAUUAUAUGCAUAGAAUUAGCAAUUAUUAUUAAGUUUGUUUUAAAUUAUUUUAUAUUUUAUAUUAUUUAUUGUAUUUUAAUUUUUUAUAAAAAAAAGUUUUUUAAUUAUAAAUUGAGUAAUUAUAAUGAUAAAAUUAGUAUAAAAUUUUGUUUAUAUAAUAAUUUUAGAUAAGUUUAUAUAAAGAACUCGGCAAAUAUUAUACUCGCCUGUUUAACAAAAACAUGUCUUUUUGAGUUAUUUUUAAAGUCUGACCUGCCCAAUGAAGUUAAGUUUUAAUGGCCGCAGUAUUUUGACUGUGCAAAGGUAGCAUAACAUUAGUCUUUUAAUUGAAGGCUUGUAUGAAUGGUUGGACGAAGUAUAAACUGUUUCAUAUAAAUUUAUUAUAGAAUUUUAUUUUUUAGUUAAAAAGCUAAAAUUUUUUUAAAAGACGAGAAGACCCUAUAAAUCUUUAUAAUUUAUUAUAAUUAAUUUUUUUAGAUAUUUAUUAUAAUUAAUUUUUUUAGAUAUUUUUUGAUUUAAUAUAAUUAAAUUAUUUUGUUGGGGUGAUAAUAAAAUUUAUUAAACUUUUAAUUUAUUUAUUACAUUAAUUUAUGAUUUAUUGAUCCAUUAAUAAUGAUUAUAAGAAUAAGUUACUUUAGGGAUAACAGCGUUAUUUUUUUGGAGAGUUCUUAUCGAUAAAAAAGUUUGCGACCUCGAUGUUGGAUUAAGAGAUAUUUUUAGGUGUAGUAGCUUAAAUGUUAAGUCUGUUCGACUUU